ensembl:lncRNA
ACGGCUUGUAAUGGCUAAUCACACUCACACCUGGUGGCAGAUAUCAACCCUUUAAAGAGGUUUGAGAAGGCCUCCCCGUCGACAGCAUCGGUAGACAAAACGCCACACAGCACAUUCUGGUUUCUUUUUUGUCCUUUUAUUCAUUCCAUCCAUGAAGGAUUUACAAAGCCUUCCACCUAAAUGCUUUAACCCAAGAGAGUCAGCUCUACUCAUCGAUACAUACAGCUGCACACGUCUACAGAUCCCGUUCCCAUUGAAAAUCAUGUGCGGGAAUAGCACCCGGAAGUCUAAGAGGCAAUUGUACUCAUAUCAUAUCAUGUUAGCUUGCUGAUUCUUCUGUAAUAGAUAUAAAUAAAUCCAUGCAAUAUUCAUCUCUCGCCAUAUAAUGUCAAUUUUUCAGUUUUGGCACCAUUGUUUACGAGGUCAGUGAGCGCUGAACCCUGAAGAUAACUCUCAGGGUUUUUAUUUUUAAGACCGGAAAUAAAUGACUAAUGGUCCUGAAAACAGCUUGCGUUAAAUCAAACAUCCUGUCUUGGUGGUGGUUAUCGCGUAAAAGGAGUUUAAGACCUAAUAAGAUGGCUAUUCAAGUACCAGGAGAUUAUUUUUCUUCCUUCAUAAAUUGAUAUAAAUCAAAGAGUUUAUGAUGCAGGAGACCUGAACCACAGAAGGGAUCAUAACAUGUAAACCGACCCUUAUCAUAGUUUUUAAAAAAAUACUCACAUUGUAUUAAUAAUUGCAUGAUUUAUAAAUGUGUUUCCCCCACCCUUAAUUAUCAUACAAGCUUAUGCAGCACUACACGUCAUAUAUUUUUCAGUCAGUACUGUGAGCAGAUAUCCCCAUACUAGUGAUAAUAACAAUAUUAAUCAUGAUCAUAACAAUUCCUCAAUUCCGUAAAAAUUGGCAAACUCCAUACAACUAUACUGUGUGUAAAGGAAACAUUUCGACAAUGUGCUUUUCUCAACAACAGAAAUCAAACUAAAAACAAAGAAUACAUAAAAGACGGUUUGGUAAGGGGCGAAGGGGGUUGGGGGUAGGUGUUUUAUAUAAUUAUAUCUCCUCUCUCACAGAAAAAUUGGCACUGUAACAUACUGUACACUCUAAAAGAGCUGUCGGGGCUCCAGACAGCAACAUGCAGAGGCCUCCGCUAGGGGGCGCUGUGAGCUCCCGCCCCGGUGCCCUGCCCUCUGAGGGGCCCGGCCACGGCCCCACGGACCGCCACGCUCAGGUAACAUGCCCACAACACAAACCAGAAGGCGGAGAAGUAGUAAACCAAGAAGGCUCCACACUGGUACUUAACCGUAUGUAGCGUGAUAAGACUAUACUGGAUUAACUGAAAAUUACAUUCGGAAAAAAAUAUUGUAUAUUGGUCUACACGAAGUAAAAAACUGAAAAUUGAAAAGUUGGACUACAUCACUGUUAGUGUUUUGGUGCGUAGCACAGUAAUACCUCUUAAUUAACCACCACCAAUUAACCUAAUGAUGGAUUUGCUGUUGAAUGUGACCUAUGUGUGUCCUAAUAGGCCUACUCAGACAUAUUUAUCACACUAGGGUUGAUGUGUUUCACAGCCUUCGGGGAGAAUGGGAUAAUCUAUAAAGCUGGGUGAGGCUGAGUGUAAAACUUAAUCCUCAUCUCAUUUCCAUUGUACUUAAUUAGCCUUGAAUGAGGAAAUAACACUCACACAAUGUUAAAUAACUAUUUGCAAGAUAAAAAUGUGUUCAUGACCAUGAAGCAUAAUAAAAGCUUGUGGGCGAUAAACCAAAACACUGGGCGACAUGUCUGUUUCCUGAGGCAUGUACGAUCUAGCACGAUAUUAAUAAUAAUAAUAAUAAUAAUCAUAAUAAGAGUCAUCAUAAUAAAAAACAUGUCUCAUCUCAUUAAGCACUGUGAGCAAGGCUGUUCUCUAAUAGCAAAGCAAUAAACAAACCUAUUGAACAAGACAUAAUACGCUCACUGGGUUGCCAGUUUGGAGCCGAAUCUCCCUUUCCCUAACCUUUCAGCAACACGUGGGGGCGGGGCGGGGUUGGGGGUUAGG